GAUGAACGCUGGCGGCGUGCUUAACACAUGCAAGUCGAACGGAACUACUCCAAUUAGAGUCUUCGGAAAGGACUUGGUUUUGUUUAGUGGCGGACGGGCGAGUAACGCGUGGGUAACCUGCUCUAUACAGGGGGAUAACAGCUGGAAACGACUGUUAAUACCGCAUAAGCGCACAUGAGCGCAUGCUCCGGUGUGAAAAACUCCGAUGGUAUAGGAUGGACCCGCGUCUGAUUAGCUGGUUGGCGGGGUAACGGCCCACCAGGGCGACGAUAAGUAGCCGGGCUGAGAGAGUGAGCGGCCACAUUGGGGCUGGGACGCAGCCCGGACUCCUACAGGAGGGAGCAGUGGCGGAUAUUGCACAAUGGGGGGAGCGAUGAAGGAGCGACGCCGGGUAAGCGAAGAAGUAUGUGGGGAUGUAAAGCUCGAUCAGCAGGGAAGAAAAUGACGGUACCUGAAGAAGAAGCCCCGGCUAACUACGUG
rnacentral:rRNA from 1 species